AUCCAGAUGAAGAGUCUCAAAUAGGACGAAAUGCACAUCCUGGAU
rnacentral:hammerhead_ribozyme from 1 species